AGGUAGAGCUCAGUAGUAGAGUGCAUGUUUAGCAUGCAUGAGGUCCUGGAUUCAACCCCCAGUACCU
rnacentral:tRNA from 1 species